CACACUAUCAUUAACUGAAUCCAUAGGUUAAUGAGGCGAACCGGGGGAACUGAAACAUCUAAGUACCCCGAGGAAAAGAAAUCAACCGAGAUUCCCCCAGUAGCGGCGAGCGAACGGGGAGGAGCCCAGAGCCUGAAUCAGUGUGUGUGUUAGUGGAAGCGUCUGGAAAGGCGCGCGAUACAGGGUGACAGCCCCGUACACAAAAAUGCACAUAUUGUGAGCUCGAUGAGUAGGGCGGGACACGUGGUAUCCUGUCUGAAUAUGGGGGGACCAUCCUCCAAGGCUAAAUACUCCUGACUGACCGAUAGUGAACCAGUACCGUGAGGGAAAGGCGAAAAGAACCCCGGCGAGGGGAGUGAAAAAGAACCUGAAACCGUGUACGUACAAGCAGUGGGAGCCUCUUUAUGGGGUGACUGCGUACCUUUUGUAUAAUGGGUCAGCGACUUAUAUUCUGUAGCAAGGUUAACCGAAUAGGGGAGCCGAAGGGAAACCGAGUCUUAACUGGGCGUUAAGUUGCAGGGUAUAGACCCGAAACCCGGUGAUCUAGCCAUGGGCAGGUUGAAGGUUGGGUAACACUAACUGGAGGACCGAACCGACUAAUGUUGAAAAAUUAGCGGAUGACUUGUGGCUGGGGGUGAAAGGCCAAUCAAACCGGGAGAUAGCUGGUUCUCCCCGAAAGCUAUUUAGGUAGCGCCUCGUGAAUUCAUCUCCGGGGGUAGAGCACUGUUUCGGCAAGGGGGUCAUCCCGACUUACCAACCCGAUGCAAACUGCGAAUACCGGAGAAUGUUAUCACGGGAGACACACGGCGGGUGCUAACGUCCGUCGUGAAGAGGGAAACAACCCAGACCGCCAGCUAAGGUCCCAAAGUCAUGGUUAAGUGGGAAACGAUGUGGGAAGGCCCAGACAGCCAGGAUGUUGGCUUAGAAGCAGCCAUCAUUUAAAGAAAGCGUAAUAGCUCACUGGUCGAGUCGGCCUGCGCGGAAGAUGUAACGGGGCUAAACCAUGCACCGAAGCUGCGGCAGCGACACUAUGUGUUGUUGGGUAGGGGAGCGUUCUGUAAGCCUGUGAAGGUGGCCUGUGAGGGUUGCUGGAGGUAUCAGAAGUGCGAAUGCUGACAUAAGUAACGAUAAAGCGGGUGAAAAGCCCGCUCGCCGGAAGACCAAGGGUUCCUGUCCAACGUUAAUCGGGGCAGGGUGAGUCGACCCCUAAGGCGAGGCCGAAAGGCGUAGUCGAUGGGAAACAGGUUAAUAUUCCUGUACUUGGUGUUACUGCGAAGGGGGGACGGAGAAGGCUAUGUUGGCCGGGCGACGGUUGUCCCGGUUUAAGCGUGUAGGCUGGUUUUCCAGGCAAAUCCGGAAAACCAAGGCUGAGGCGUGAUGACGAGGCACUACGGUGCUGAAGCGACAAAUGCCCUGCUUCCAGGAAAAGCCUCUAAGCAUCAGGUAACAUCAAAUCGUACCCCAAACCGACACAGGUGGUCAGGUAGAGAAUACCAAGGCGCUUGAGAGAACUCGGGUGAAGGAACUAGGCAAAAUGGUGCCGUAACUUCGGGAGAAGGCACGCUGAUAUGUAGGUGAAGCGACUUGCUCGUGGAGCUGAAAUCAGUCGAAGAUACCAGCUGGCUGCAACUGUUUAUUAAAAACACAGCACUGUGCAAACACGAAAGUGGACGUAUACGGUGUGACGCCUGCCCGGUGCCGGAAGGUUAAUUGAUGGGGUUAGCGGUAACGCGAAGCUCUUGAUCGAAGCCCCGGUAAACGGCGGCCGUAACUAUAACGGUCCUAAGGUAGCGAAAUUCCUUGUCGGGUAAGUUCCGACCUGCACGAAUGGCGUAAUGAUGGCCAGGCUGUCUCCACCCGAGACUCAGUGAAAUUGAACUCGCUGUGAAGAUGCAGUGUACCCGCGGCAAGACGGAAAGACCCCGUGAACCUUUACUAUAGCUUGACACUGAACAUUGAGCCUUGAUGUGUAGGAUAGGUGGGAGGCUUUGAAGUGUGGACGCCAGUCUGCAUGGAGCCGACCUUGAAAUACCACCCUUUAAUGUUUGAUGUUCUAACGUUGGCCCGUAAUCCGGGUUGCGGACAGUGUCUGGUGGGUAGUUUGACUGGGGCGGUCUCCUCCUAAAGAGUAACGGAGGAGCACGAAGGUUGGCUAAUCCUGGUCGGACAUCAGGAGGUUAGUGCAAUGGCAUAAGCCAGCUUGACUGCGAGCGUGACGGCGCGAGCAGGUGCGAAAGCAGGUCAUAGUGAUCCGGUGGUUCUGAAUGGAAGGGCCAUCGCUCAACGGAUAAAAGGUACUCCGGGGAUAACAGGCUGAUACCGCCCAAGAGUUCAUAUCGACGGCGGUGUUUGGCACCUCGAUGUCGGCUCAUCACAUCCUGGGGCUGAAGUAGGUCCCAAGGGUAUGGCUGUUCGCCAUUUAAAGUGGUACGCGAGCUGGGUUUAGAACGUCGUGAGACAGUUCGGUCCCUAUCUGCCGUGGGCGCUGGAGAACUGAGGGGGGCUGCUCCUAGUACGAGAGGACCGGAGUGGACGCAUCACUGGUGUUCGGGUUGUCAUGCCAAUGGCACUGCCCGGUAGCUAAAUGCGGAAGAGAUAAGUGCUGAAAGCAUCUAAGCACGAAACUUGCCCCGAGAUGAGUUCUCCCUGAGACUUAGAGUCUCCUGAAGGAACGUUGAAGACGACGACGUUGAUAGGCCGGGUGUGUAAGCGCAGCGAUGCGUUGAGCUAACCGGUACUAAUGAACCGUGAGGCUUAACCUUACAACGCCGAAG
rnacentral:rRNA from 1 species